GACGAACGCUGGCGGCGUGCCUAAUACAUGCCAGUAGAACGCUGAAGCGAGGAGCUUACUCUUCUUGGAUGAGUUGCGAACGGGUGAGUAACGCGUAGGUAACCUGCCUUGUAGCGGGGGAUAACUAUUGGAAACGAUAGCUAAUACCGCAUAACAAUGGAUGACACAUGUCAUUUAUUUGAAAGGGGCAAUUGCUCCACUACAAGAUGGACCUGCGUUGUAUUAGCUAGUAGGUGAGGUAAUGGCUCACCUAGGCGGCGAUACAUAGCCGAACUGAGAGGGUGAGCGGCCACACUGGGAGUGAGACACGGCCCAGACGCCUACGGGAGGCAGCAGUAGGGAAACUUCGGGCAUGAGGGCAAAACUGACCGCGAAACGCCGCGUGAGGGAAGAAGGUUGUCGGAUCGGAAAGCACGGUUGUAAGUCAAGAACGGGUGUGAGAGUGGAAAGUUCACAGUGUGACGGUAGCUUAUCAGAAAGGGACGGCUAACUACGUG
rnacentral:rRNA from 1 species